UACGUAGGCAGCGAGCGUUGUUCGGAGUUACUGGGCGUAAAGCGUGCGCAGGCGGUUUUGCAAGCCGGAUGUGAAAUCCCCGGGCUCAACCUGGGAAUGGCAUUCGGGACUGCAAGGCUGGAGUGCGGCAGAGGAGACUGGAAUUCCUGGUGUAGCAGUGAAAUGCGUAGAUAUCAGGAGGAAUACCGAUGGCGAAGGCAGGUCUCUGGGCUGACACUGACGCUCAUGCACGAAAGCGUGGGGAGCAAACAGG
rnacentral:rRNA from 1 species